rnacentral:rRNA from 1 species
GGUCCCGCCUGCCCUGUGACUAUAAGUUUAACGGCCGCGGUAUUUUGACCGUGCGAAGGUAGCGCAAUCACUUGUCUUUUAAAUGGAGACCUGUAUGAAUGGCAUAACGAGGGCUUAGCUGUCUCCUCUCUCAAGUCAAUGAAACUGAUCCCCCCGUGCAGAAGCGGGGAUACCUCCAUAAGACGAGAAGACCCUAUGGAGCUUUAGACAUAAGGCAGAUCACGUUAAAAAUUCUUCUAUAAGAGUAAAAACACAACGAUAACUGCUGAAAUGUCUUUGGUUGGGGCGACCGCGGAGGAAAAACAAUCCUCCAUGUGGACUGGGGCUAGGGGCCCUAAAACUAAGAGCUACCGCUCUAGGUAAUAGAAACUUUUUAACCUGCCAGAUCCGGCCAGCCGAUCGACGAACCGAGUUACCCUAGGGAUAACAGCGCAAUCUCCUUCCAGAGCCCGUAUCGCCAAGGGGGUUUACGACCUCGAUGUUGGAUCAGGACAUCCUAAUGGUGCAGCCGCUAUUAAGGGUUCGUUUGUUCAACGAUUAAAGUCCUACGUGAUC